UUAACUUGACAAGAACGCAUUCGAGUCGAGUAGCUCCCAAUUAAAAAUCAGUCGGUCGCAUCUGCCCAACUUACCUUAGAUACCAAAUUGUCGAACCAGAACCAAUUGGGUUAGUCUACAAUCCAGGCUCUAACCAUUGAGCCAAAUUAGGUCUUAACUUGAUCGAGUCACAUCUAAAUGUGAUUCGACCUUGACCUAGACUUAAUCCUAUUAG
rnacentral:lncRNA from 1 species